AUUUGCGUAAAGGUUGCCUGAAAGGAAGCAAAAGAUCUCUAAGCAGAUAUUGAAGUCCAGCUGAUGUUUGUGCUGUGGUAUUUGGGGGGGAUUAGCAACUUACUCUGAAUGGAUCGAAGAACAUGGGGCAGAGAGAUGCGUGGAAAUCAGGCUGGCCGUGAGAUACGGAGUCUGGCAAAAGUCGAGCACAGCAUGGAGGUGGAGGGUCUAUGGGCGCUUGCUGUAAAAUGCUUUCUUCCAACUUUUACGUAUAUUUAUACACUUCCAUAAUAAAAUAUUGGUGGGGGGGGGAGAGAAACGAAAGGGCACCCCAAAACAGCCUCAUGUGAAAGGCACCUCGUUGUGGUGAGUUUUCAGAGCUGCUGAGGCUUUCAGAGGCUGCAGAGAGGAGCGAACGGGAAAGACUCGGAGGGCUCAGAACUGACCCAGAGCCUCCCAAGGCAGAGAUUCCCUCUGUGGUCUGGGUUAAGACCGGUCGCGGCGGCCUGGGUCUGCGUUCGAUCACUGUGCCCAAGGCGCAAUUUCCUGUUCCUUGGGAUGAAGCACAUCUUGGACUUGGACUACCUCUCUCUACACGGCGUUUGGUCACCACCAGUAAAGAUGACAAUGGCCAUCUCCCCAGGGACACUGGGAGACUCCUCGAGUGUGUUUGCAGUGUCUACUGGAGGUCCCUGAAGGAAAACUUGAGCAGGGUUGUGCACUAAUGCAUGCAAGAGGAAGGACAAAAGGACGUGAUGGUCAGCAGAGUUGUAUGCUUUGUAUUUAUUUAUUUUUUUAUUUUUUUAUGGUGAAAGAAAUAGGGGAAGGAGUAGAGACACAAAGCGGCUUCGUAUCUAGAAAUGGCUCGCAGAGAACCCAAACCAGGAACCUACCCAGCAUGCUAACUGGAACCAUCACCUUGCUUUUCCAAACAAGCCCGUAUUUUAUUUUGAGACUCCUGUUCGUCAAUGCAAAACACUCUGUCCCCAUGCUUAGCCCUGUAAAGCAUUAUAUAUCUGAGAAGCCAGGAAAAGAGGGUGGCAGGAGAGGUUUUGGAAACGGAGCCAGACCCCAUGCUGGGGAAUUCUUAAGUGCCAUCCUGGCCUGCAAAAAGAGAAAGAAAAGAAAGAAAGAAAGAAAAAGAAAAAACAAGCUACUGGUCAGAGGGAAUGCUCCUCCAUGCCAAGCUCAGCUUGAAUUCAUACACAACACAACCUCUUAAAGGGGAGAAACACUGCUUUAAACCCAGAGUCUCUCCUCUCGAUGCAACUGAUGAAAAACGACAGGAAGUUCAGAAUAUUCUGGGAGGAAAGGGGCUGCAACCUGAGAUACUUUCUUCGCUCCCAAUGUUUGCAAUCUUGUCACUCUGGUCAAGGCCACACCUUCAGGUCAGGAGGGAUCAAGUCUUUGCGGCAAAGGAUGCCAGGUUCCAUUUCCCCCAAGAAGAACAAUGCCCAGGGUCUGAGGCUCGUCAUCUCCCUGGGGCCUGUGCGGUCUGGUUGCGUAGCUGGUAAAACCCACUUCACUUUUGAACUCUUCCCAGAAACGAUAAGAGGAUCUUCCCAGGGAAGAGAAAAAUGGAAUUGGUUACAGGGGUAGGGUCUGCCCGGAAUGCACUGCUACCCCCGUUUCCCACACAGUCCACUGGCUGUUGGGAAGGAGGGGACUAGAACAUACAGAAUCUGGCUGUGAGGAAGAAUACAAAACCUGCCUUUCACACAAAGGGGACAUUUCCCCUCGUUAGCUGAGCAGGUACUAGAGUAACUUAACAGGAGCAAGUAACCGCACAGAGAAGAAACUAAAGCCUUAAAAACCAAGGCACCUUUCCUCCAGCGUGUGUCUUCCAGGGUGAGGCGAGCACACAUCACUAACGGAGCUGUGUUAGGCCGAGCGGGAGAUCUUUGACAUUUGGGUCAUUCAACCUAUCAACCUUAAAUUAUUAUUUUUUAUGGUUUUUAUUUAAAAAAUGUUUGUCUAAUGUUUGCUUAUUUUUGAGAGAGAGAGAGAGAGAGAGAGAGAGAGAGAGAGACAAAGAGAGGCAGAGUGUGAGGGACAGGGACAGAGUGAGAAGGAGACACAGAAUCCAAAGCAGGCUCCAGGCUCCGAGCUGUCGGCACAGAGCCUGACGCGGGGCUCGAACCCACGAACCUCCAGAUCGUAACCUGAGCUGAAGUCGGAUGCUUACACGGAGCGGUCCAGGUGCCCUCAAGCUUAAAUUAAAACCCAAGCGAUGAGAAGAUCAGACAGACCUCACGAUUCUAACUGUGUGAGCGUAUACACGUGUAUGCCUUAUCUUGGAGCGGGCUUUGUCAAGUGACCACACUUUAACCCAAGCCCCGAGCUGUAAGCAAUACUCCCUCGGUGCUGCGUGUGUUUGUUUGCUUUUAAUUGUGAAGAGUUACGCACGCCCUGUAAGCACAAACUGUAAGAGGGCACAUACAUGGACAGACCCUUGUACUAUA